CCUACGGGUGGCAGCAGUGGGGAAUAUUGCGCAAUGGGCGAAAGCCUGACGCAGCGACGCCGCGUGAGGGAUGAAGGUCUUCGGCUCGUAAACCUCUGUCAGCAGGGAAGAACGGUCACUGUGCUAAUCAUCAGUGAAUUGACGGUACCUGCAAAGGAAGCACCGGCUAACUCCGUGCCAGCAGCCGCGGUCAUACGUAGGGUGCGAGCGUUAAGUGGAAUUACUGGGCGUAAAGCGCUCGUAGGCGGUAUGUCAAGUCAAGGGUGAAAUCCCCGCGCUCAACGUGGGAACUGCCUUUGAAACUGGCAAACUGGAGUGUGUGAGAGGAUAGUGGAAUUCCAGGUGUAGGAGUGAAAGCCGUAGAUAUCUGGAGGAACAUCAGUGGCGAAGGCGACUAUCUGGCACAUAACUGACGCUGAGGAGCGAAAGCGUGGGUAGCAAACAGGAUUAGAUACCCCGGUAGUC
rnacentral:rRNA from 1 species